ACUUAGUCCUACUAAGGUAAUUUUAUACUUCUGUGUCCACCGUGUAACAUUAUAUUAUAAUUUGAAAGUGUCUACAAAGGAAGAAAGGAUGAACUUUUAUGUGUUAUUACAGAAUUCAAGUGAGUAUAAGAGCUUGUAUUUGACUCCCAAUAAAUUUUAUUUUCUCAUAGUUUUUGUUGAAUUUACUCUCUGCUACUACAUGGGUUAGAGACUCCCGGAGAAGAAAUCAUAGUUCAUCUGUGCAGCCAAAAGCCUUAACAUUUUCUUCUGAAGUGUUGUCAGUAUCUUCAGAGAGUGACAAGAAUUGUCCAUAUUUCGAUUUUCUUGCAAAAAAAACUUAUUUUGCACCCUGCUCAGUAAUAAGACCAUAUGUUUGUAAGCACCAGGCAUUGUAGUUACCUCAUUUUGGUAUAAUGUUAUUUCACCAUUUAUAAAGAAUACAUCCCUCAUUAUUUCAAACCCA